rnacentral:rRNA from 1 species
UGGGGAAUCUUCCGCAAUGGGCGAAAGCCUGACGGAGCAACGCCGCGUGAGUGAAGAAGGUCUUCGGAUCGUAAAGCUCUGUUGCCGGGGACGAAUGUAGGCAGUGCAAACAGCAUUGUGUAAUGACGGUACCCGGCGAGGAAGCCACGGCUAACUACGUGCCAGCAGCCGCGGUAAUACGUAGGUGGCGAGCGUUGUCCGGAAUUAUUGGGCGUAAAGGGAGCGCAGGCGGGCGAGUAAGUCUUUCUUAAAAGUGCGGGGCUCAACCCCGUGAGGGGAGAGAAACUACUCAUCUUGAGUGCAGGAGAGGAAAGCGGAAUUCCUAGUGUAGCGGUGAAAUGCGUAGAUAUUAGGAAGAACACCAGUGGCGAAGGCGGCUUUCUGGACUGUAACUGACGCUGAGGCUCGAAAGCCAGGGGAGCGAACG